rnacentral:tRNA from 1 species
GGAGUCUUAAAAUAAUAUUAAAUAUAAAUACAAUUAAAAAAUUUU